GAAGGUUACUUAAGGCGUACGGUGGAUGCCUUGACUGAAGCAAACGAUGAAGGACGUAGCCGGCUGCGAUAAGCCUCGGGGAGCUGCCAAGCAAGCUUUGAUCCGUGGAUUUCCGAAUGGGAAAACCCUUCCGACUUUACGUCGGGAAUCAUUAUCUGAAUACAUAGGAUAGUGAGGUAUACCCUGGGAAUUGAAACAUCUUAGUACCAGGAGGAAAAGAAAACAAUUGUGAUUCCGUCAGUAGUGGCGAGCGAAAGCGGAAUAGCCUAAACCUUACACCACUUUAUGGUGUAAGGGGUUGCGAGACAAUGCAACUCGUUUAAUCGGGAUCUAAACAUUUUUCUUAAUAGAACACUUUGGAAAAAGUGGCCAUAGGAGGUAAUAGCCCUGUAUGUGAAAAGAAAAGUGUUGCGAUGGUAUUGUUCUCAAGUAGGGCAGGACUGGUGAAAUCCUGUUUGAAUCUGGGAGCACUAAACUUCCAAGGCUAAAUAUUGCUUCAGAUCGAUAGUGAACUAGUACCGUGAGGGAAAGGUGAAAAGCAUCCCGAUAAGGGAGGUGAAAUAGUACCUGAAACCAUACGCUGACUCAGAGUCGGAGCCCCGCCCUUUUGGCCGGUAAAGAUUUUUUCUUUGCCCAAAAGGGCGGGGUGACGGCGUGCUUUUUGCAGAACGAGCCAACGAGUUAGUUCUAUGCGGCUUGCAUAAACUAUUUUUAUAGGAUAUGCAUAGUGAAGGCGAGCUUUAAAAGGCUACUUGUCGCAUGGACUAGACCCGAAACCAGGCGAGCUACAUAUGAGCAGGGUGAACCUCGAGUAACAUCGAGGGGAGGCCCGAACCCACCAGCCGUUCAACGCUGGGGGAUGACUUGUGUGUAGAGGAGAAAUUCCAAUCGAGCUUGGCAAUAGCUGGUUCUCUCCGAAAUAGCUUGAGGGCUAGCGUCUUGAUUAUCCGCCUUAGGCGGAUAAAUUAGACAUAAGAGGUAGAGCUACUGAAUGAGAAUUCGCGGUUCGCCGUAGAAUUCCCAACCAAACUCCGAAUUCUUAUGUUUUUACCAAGGCAGUCAGAAAUCCGGCUCUAAGGUCGGAUCUCAAAAGGGAAACAGCCCAGAUCAUAAUCUAAGGUCCCUAAAUCCAUGUUAAGUGAUUUAUAAGGAAGUGAAGUUUCUUAUACACCUAGGAGGUUGGCUUAGAAGCAGCCAUCCUUUAAAGAGUGCGUAACAGCUCACUAGUCUAGAAAUUUUGCGCCAAAAAUGUAUCGGGGCUAAACAUGGUACCGAAGAUAUGAUUCCGCUCUUUGUUUACAAAGGGCGGGAGGUAGGAGAGCGUUCUAUGUGCUGUGAAGUUUUGUCGUGAGGCAGGAUGGAGCGCAUAGAAGUGAGAAUGUUGGCAUGAGUAACCACAAUGCGGGUGAAAACCCCGCACACCGAAAGUCCAAGGUUUCCUGGGCGAUGUUGAUCAACCCAGGGUUAGUCGGGCCUAAGGCGAGGCCGAAAGGCGUAGUCGAUGGACAGCCGGUUAAUAUUCCGGCACUACGGCAGUAUUCGAUGGAGUGACGUGUUCUAGUAUAUUUUGCGUCUUAUUGGAUUGACGUAAUUGUUUUAAGGGUGUCUUGCAGGCAAAUCCGCGAGACAUCGCCCAAGAAAUAAUUGGAACCCAGCACUAACUUUUUGAGUGUCGCUUUGCGACAUUUAGUAAAUGACAUUUUUUCUUUCAGAAGAUAAUUAAGUUGUGGAAACUUAUCUUCAAAUGGUAGGAUUAAAUUAUCAAAAAGUUGGUGCUGGGGAACAAGAUAAAGCAGGGCACCAGGAAAAACUUCUAAGGCUAGUACUGUUGUAUCCGUACUGCAAACCGACACAGGUGGACUGGGCGAGUAGCCCAAGGUGAACGAGAGAACCUUCGUUAAGGAAUUCGGCAAAAAAGCUAGAUGUAAGUUUGCGAGAUAUCUUUCCUACACCACUUUAAUUCUUUGAAUAAUGAUGUUUAAGGAGUUAGGGUGGUGUAGGACGCAGCUAAAGUAUCCCAGGCGACUGUUUACCAAAAACACAGGUCUCUGCAAACCCGUAAGGGGAAGUAUAGGGGCUGACGCCUGACCAGUGCUGGAACGUUAACGGGAGCGGUGCAAGCCAAUCCUCGAAGCGCCAGUGAACGUCGGCAAUAACUAUAAUUGUCCUAAGGUUCUGAAAUUUUUUAUAAGAUUUCAGAAGGACUGGGACGAUUGUAGUGAAUGUUAAGUCGAAUUUUAGAGUUAUAAGGAAAAAGUAACUGCUUAUUCUGUUGAGAAACAGAAUGUCUUAAAAAUUCAGCUAUAUGCUGGAAAAUCCGGAGUAUCCGGUGCUACUUCAUUACUUAAUGAGGUAAAAAUGUAUCCGGUGCGGAUAACCAGCAGGAAAGAUUGCUUAAAAUUAUUAAUCUUAAGCAAAAUCCUCAGAGACUAAACGCUGAAUUCGCCACUGAGGCGAAAAAAUAUAGUCCGUGCUAUACAGCGAUGUAUAGAUAACAUUUCAGAGCGAAAUUCCUUGUCGGGUAAAUUCCGACCCGCAUCAAAGGCGUAACGACUUGGGAACUGUCUCAACGAAGGACUCGGUGAAAUCGCAGUGACGGUGAAGAUGCCGUCAACCUACGGCAAGACGAAAAGACCCCGUGGAGCUUUACUAUAACUUGGCAUUGGAUUAGAGUUUUGGUUGCCGAGAAUAGGUGGGAGACUUUGAAGUCUCGUUUCAGGACGAGAUGGAGUCAUCAGUGGAAUACCACCCUGCUAGAGUUUUAAUUCUAACCCUAGACCGUUAAGAGAUAGGAAAUAGGGAAGUAAUGAGUUAAUCAUCGAAAUCAAGAUUGUAAAGCAAAGCAAGGCAAGAUCGAUAUUUUUUAUCGAACUGCCUAUUUUAUGAUUAAUUCGUUCUUCUAAAUUCAUACCAAUUCAUUCUUAUUUCUUACCGGUCUGGGAACAGUGCCUGGUGGGUAGUUUGACUGGGGCGGUCGCCUCCCAAAUGGCAACGGAGGCGUUUACAAAGGUUGGCUAAGUCCGGAUGGAAAUCGGGCUGAUAGUGCAAAAGCAUAAGCCAGCUUUACUGAAAGACCCAUAAGUCAAUCAGU
rnacentral:rRNA from 1 species